rnacentral:rRNA from 1 species
CCUACGGGAGGCAGCAGUGGGGAAUUUUGGACAAUGGGGGGAACCCUGAUCCAGCCAUUCCGCGUGUGCGAUGAAGGCCUUCGGGUUGUAAAGCACUUUUGGCAGGAAAGAAAUCGCACGGAUUAAUACUUUGUGUGGAUGACGGUACCUGCAGAAUAAGCACCGGCUAACUACGUGCCAGCAGCCGCGGUAAUACGUAGGGUGCAAGCGUUAAUCGGAAUUACUGGGCGUAAAGCGUGCGCAGGCGGUUCGGAAAGAGAGGUGUGAAAUCCCAGGGCUUAACCGUUGGAACUGCACUUUUAACUCCCGAGCUAGAGUAUGUCAGAGGGGGGUGAAUUCCGCGUGUAGCAGUGAAAUGCGUAGAUAUGCGGAGGAACACCGAUGGCGAAGGCAGCCCCCUGGGAUGAUACUGACGCUCAUGCACGAAAGCGUGGGGAGCAAACAGGAUUAGAUACCCUGGUAGUCCACGCCCUAAACGAUGUCAACUAGCUAGUUGGGGGCUUCGGCCCUUAGUAGCGCAGCUAACGCGUGAAGUUGACCGCGUGGGAGUCGGUGCAGAUUAAACGUNAAAGGAAUUGACGG